rnacentral:SRP_RNA from 2 species
GCCGAGCUCAGUAAUGUGAGCUUGUAAUCCAAAUGGAGGCAUCAAAGUGGUCGAAAGCGGGUUCAGCCCAUCGGGUAGGGUUUCUUCGGAUAUUAUCCUGGCCCGCCCAUUCCAAGUAGGAAGCUGGGCCUUGGGCUUUGGGCGAAGGCCUUGAGUCCAUUGCCUAUAGAGUGGGGGAUACCGCGUAAGGCUGGUCUCACAGAGCAGCGUUACCCCCCGCUUCUGUCGGUGGAAGGAUUACGGGCCGGUUCCCUCGGGCCCAUUGAUACUCGAUGAGUAGGCCUCUGCCUAACAGCCACAUUU